rnacentral:rRNA from 1 species
AACGAACGCUGGCGGCAUGCCUAACACAUGCAAGUCGAACGAGACCUUCGGGUCUAGUGGCGCACGGGUGCGUAACGCGUGGGAACCUGCCCUUAGGUUCGGAAUAACUCCCCGAAAGGGGUGCUAAUACCGGAUAAUGUCUUCGGACCAAAGAUUUAUCGCCUUUGGAUGGGCCCGCGUUGGAUUAGCUAGUUGGUAGGGUAAAAGCCUACCAAGGCGACGAUCCAUAGCUGGUCUGAGAGGAUGAUCAGCCACACUGGGACUGAGACACGGCCCAGACUCCUACGGGAGGCAGCAGUGGGGAAUAUUGGACAAUGGGCGAAAGCCUGAUCCAGCAAUGCCGCGUGAGUGAUGAAGGUCUUAGGGUUGUAAAGCUCUUUUACCCGGGAUGAUAAUGACAGUACCGGGAGAAUAAGCGCCGGCUAACUCCGUG